rnacentral:rRNA from 1 species
GACGAACGCUGGCGGCGUGCCUAAUACAUGCAAGUCGAGCGCUGAAGGUUGGUACUUGUACCAACUGGAUGAGCAGCGAACGGGUGAGUAACGCGUGGGGAAUCUGCCUUUGAGCGGGGGACAACAUUUGGAAACGAAUGCUAAUACCGCAUAAAAAUUUAAACAAAAGUUUUAAGGUUGAAAAAUGGCAAUGCAUCAAUCAAAGAAGAUCCCCCGUUGUAUUUACUUGUUGGGGAGGUAAAGGCUCACCAAGGCGAUGAUACAUAGCCGACCUGAGAGGGUGAUCGGCAACAUUGGGACUGGGACACGGCCCAAACUCCUACGGGAGGCAGCAGUAGGGGAUCUUCGGCAAUGGACGAAAGUCUGACCGAGCAACGCCGCGUGAGUGAAGAAGGUUUUCGGAUCGUAAAACUCUGUUGGUAGAGAAGAACGUUGGUGAGAGUGGAAAGCUCAUCAAGUGACGGUAACUACCCAGAAAGGGACGGCUAACUACGUG